ensembl:lincRNA linc-123 ncRNA
UUUCCAUUUUUUUUGAGAAAUACGAGAUAUGCAUGACUUUUCAAUUGAAAUGUGCCGCUAAAUGAAACAUAACGUUUUGCAGAAGCAGGUGAUUUAUUGAAGACAAAAUUGGAAAAUUACGUAGUCCUUAUCAAACAGUAUUUAUAAAUAGAUGAAGUUUUUGCACAAUAAACAAAAAAGUUACAAGAAAGGUCUAAGAUUAUGAUCCUCUAUUGACCCUGAUUCUCGUGAGAUCCACAAUGGGUGACACCUGGACCGAAGACGGAGGUCGUCGGAAGCUUACUUCUCAAUAACUCACUUAUCAAUUUGGAAAUCUUUCUUACAGAAUUCAAUUUGUUUUGUUUAUUUUCCCAUUUGUGUUUAUCUUCCCUUGAUUAAAUUCUUUGCUAUAUAUAUAUGCUGACCACAAUAUGAUUCGAUAGGAUUUUAUUUUAUUUUAUUCUCAAACAACAUGAAAUAUUCUAUGUUU